AGGUGGCUAGCGUUGAUCCUAAGGACCUGAAAGGGAGGAAGAAAGCAAUGGAUAAAAGAGAUAAUGGUAAUGGAGUUGAGACAAAUCAAGCUAAGAUGAACCCAUUAGGGAUGUCUUAAGUUGGCCAAAGUACUCCAAUGUCAAAUAGAAAGGAACCAAAAGUUGGAGUUGGAAAUGCAAAAUCCAAAGUGAGAAAGAUGAAAUUUGCCUCUGAGAAUAUUAGCAGUAAUAUGACUGGGGAAGAUGGUGAGGAGGAUAAGGGUGAGAACCGUGUUAAGAAACAACGUAUGGUUUGGAACCCAUACCUGCAUUUGAAGUUCAGUACUUUAGGUGACAAAGGUGAUUUCUCAAUCCUCA
rnacentral:lncRNA from 1 species